GACGAACGCUGGCGGCGUGCUUAACACAUGCAAGUCGAACGGAAAGGCCCCUUCGGGGGUACUCGAGUGGCGAACGGGUGAGUAACACGUGAGUAACCUGCCCUUGACUUCGGGAUAACUUCAGGAAACUGGGGCCAAUACCGGAUAGGAAUCCUUGCUGCAUGGUGGGGGUUGGAAAGCUUCGGCGGUUUUGGAUGGACUCGCGGCUUAUCAGCUUGUUGGUGGGGUAGUGGCUUACCAAGGCUUUGACGGGUAGCCGGCCUGAGAGGGCGACCGGCCACAUUGGGACUGAGAUACGGCCCAGACUCCUACGGGAGGCAGCAGUGGGGAAUAUUGCACAAGGGGCGGAAGCCUGAUGCAGCAACGCCGCGUGCGGGAUGACGGCCUUCGGGUUGUAAACCGCUUUCAGCAGGGGCGAAGCUUGUGGUGACGGUACCUGCAGAAGAAGCACCGGCUAACUACGUG
rnacentral:rRNA from 1 species